UUGAAAAUAGUAAGAUACAUCUGUAUCUUAAAAUGAGACAAAUAUGACAGUUCAUAGACUUAUCUCCAGUACAUAAUUUGAUAUGAUAAAGAUGGAGUUAGUAGGAAUUAUUAAGUGAACUUUUAAUAUACAUUCUUUGUAGGAAAUCCAGCUAUAAAACGUUCUGAUGGGUAACAUGCUAUUCCUAAACUACAAGUAACUGACUACAUGUAGGACAGCAUUGCCUUGUGGGGUGAAAUAGGGAGAAAGCUGUCAAAGGACUGGGUAUGCCUGAAGCAGAAGAAAGGGGAGAUUCUUCCUCACAUUGAAGCUGUUGACCUGCACAAAGUCACCAAGUUUGUUGGGUCAGAGAGGGAGAGCAUGAGAAUCAUGGCUUUCUACUCUGGGAACCAGCGUGCUCCCUUGGGAAGUAUGUCCCCAUCCCUCACUGUCUGGACAAAAUCUAAGUGGUAACAGGAAGAACUGAGCAUAGCCUGCCUCAACCAGCCUCUGCUGAGGGGUCUCUGCUACCUAAGUAAAUGCUCUGAUCAUUGAGCUGUUGCGUAAUUGGGGACUUUCCUCCAACACAGUUUAUCCCCUCCUUUGUUUUUUUUCCAGCCAAAACUAUUCAGCAAAUUUGAAGCAAAUAGUUUAGACAUGACUGAAACCACAUUUUCCGGGGAAUUAACUAUUAAAAUAAAUAAAUAAAUCAUCCAGCUCUAACUAUUACCACUUCUAAAAUCUAUGCUGAUUCUUUUCCAUGUAAAUUAAAACACUUUUUUUUUUUUUUAAACAUAACAGUUUGACCCAUCCACCCAGACAGGGUAGUAAAUUAGGCUCAUUACUUAUGCUGUUCUGGAGUGCACAGUGUCUGUUAUAGUACUUACAACUAAAGCUUAUUUCUUCAGUUUACCAAUCUUUUCCUCUCUUUGCAGCCUCUAUGAUCCCAUCAAUUCCAACAGUUGGUCCCUGUAGGAGAGGGGACUCUUCACUAUUACAUUUUUAUCCUUUUCUAGUCAACUAAUUUAAAACUACUAAAAAAAUAAAGUACUUUUUUCACUGGGCCUACUGCUAACUUGUUUAUAGUUUAAAUUAUGCCAUGCUACUAGAUACAAAUUAAACCAUUGGAAACAAACAAAAAAAGGAUAUCUCUAGAUGUACUUGAGAGUAGUAGGAAAUGUUGCAGUAAAACAGAAUUCCAGCUCUGAACCAAGCGCUGGACUUGAUGUUGCCUGCAGAGUGGCAGCUUGAAGAGAGAUUUCACUACAGAGAAGAACAAAAUUUGCGAGUUUUUUCAGAAUUUUCCAAGCAGUUGUGCAAGACUCCCCCAUGACCUGUGUCACAGGCAGAUGUGUAGCACACAGAGUCAGUCAGGUGGUACGACCUGGUCUUACAGACCCCCUGAUCUUACAAGGCCUGGAAGCCCUUGACCUUGAGCUGUCAAAAAGACUUGGGUAGAUCAUGUCAGAUAUGCUGCAAUGAAAGCAGCAGCCAGGGAUUUGGGGACAAGCUGUUUGCUUUCCACCACAUUGGAAUUUGAUAGUAGAAAACUGUUUAGCCAGAACAAGGUGGGUUGGAACUAGAUUAUUGUCAAGGUCCUUUCCAACCUAAACCACUCUGUGAAUCCAUGAUUCUGUGAUUUUUGAUCAGCUCACUUGGGCCUUGUGGGACUCCAGCAUUGCAUCUCACCUUUCAAUCUGGUAGUUUCCAAAUACUCUCCCUAGACCAUGGUGAGCAGCCCUCUGAUAUAUCUGUUGCAGCAUUUUCAAUUCCUGUUUGAUUCCGUGUGUGAUUUGCAGCUGGCUGGAAAAGUGAAGUGGUGGUUUGGCGCUUCAGAAGCCAGUGGAAGGAUGGUUGUAGACAUCCCUCUAGUGGCCCUGCAGCCUCUGGGAAGCCGGGAGCAGCUCCGGCAUCCCCGGGCUCAGCACGCACGCAGAUGCUGGCAAAUGGAUGCUCUCCUCUGUGGAGUUGGAUCCUCUGCAGAGCUGGGGAACUGUAAUGGCAGAUAAUAUUUCCCUUUUUCCCUUUCACCAAAAUUGUCCUUGAAACUCAGCACCAGUUCAGGCUGUUUAGAAUGUUUAUUUCAUGCAGGCCACAAUGCUGGAAGGAGGUAUCCAUUUCACUGGCCACUGUAAAAAACAGGUGUACUGGGAGAUGAUAUGAGGAAAGGGUUAAUACUGUCUCUAUGCUUUUUUAAAUGUCAGUUUAUUUAACCUAGAGAGAGAGCAAUUUUGUCAUCACUGAAAAAACUGGCAAGUUAUACUUGAAGAUUAAUCAAAUGUUUCAGAUUUUCUUGUCUCUUUUAUACAAGAUUGAUAAGAUACCAAGGGGGAAAAAAGAAAAAAAAAUAAAGUAUAUGUAAAAUAAACAUAAGGAACAUUUAUUUGUACAUUUGUAAACUUUGACUUCUCAACUGAAACUGUCAAUAAAAUGCUAAUUUUGUUUAUGUGUUUGGA